rnacentral:rRNA from 1 species
GAUGAACGCUAGCGGCAGGCUUAACACAUGCAAGUCGAGGGGUAUCACGCUUUCGGGCGUGAGAGACCGGCGCACGGGUGCGUAACGCGUAUACAAUCUACCUUUUACAGAGGGAUAGCCCAGAGAAAUUUGGAUUAAUACCUCAUAGUAUUUUCGAAUGGCAUCAUUUGAUUAUUAAAGUUCCAACGGUAAAAGAUGAGUAUGCGUCCCAUUAGCUAGAUGGUAAGGUAACGGCUUACCAUGGCAACGAUGGGUAGGGGUCCUGAGAGGGAGAUCCCCCACACUGGUACUGAGACACGGACCAGACUCCUACGGGAGGCAGCAGUGAGGAAUAUUGGACAAUGGACGCAAGCCUGAUCCAGCCAUGCCGCGUGCAGGAUGACGGUCCCUAUGGAUUGUAAACUGCUUUUGUACAGGAACAAAAUGCGACCUGCGGGUUGUACUGAGGGUACCGUAAGAAUAAGCACCGGCUAACUCCGUG